rnacentral:rRNA from 1 species
AUUGAACGCUGGCGGCAUGCCUUACACAUGCAAGUCGAACGGUAACGGGCCUUCGGGUGCCGACGAGUGGCGAACGGGGGAGUAAUACAUCGGAACGUGCCCGAUCGUGGGGGAUAACGAGGCGAAAGCUUUGCUAAUACCGCAUACGAUCUACGGAUGAAAGCCGGGGACCGCAAGGCCUUGCGCGGGCGGAGCGGCCGAUGGCAGAUUAGGUAGUUGGUGGGAUAAAAGCUUACCAAGCCGACGAUCUGUAGCUGGUCUGAGAGGAUGAUCAGCCACACUGGGACUGAGACACGGCCCAGACUCCUACGGGAGGCAGCAGUGGGGAAUUUUGGACAAUGGGCGCAAGCCUGAUCCAGCCAUGCCGCGUGCAGGAUGAAGGCCUUCGGGUUGUAAACUGCUUUUGUACGGAACGAAAAGCCUUCUUUUAAUACAGGAGGGUCAUGACGGUACCGUAAGAAUAAGCACCGGCUAACUACGUG